rnacentral:rRNA from 1 species
GAUGAACGCUGGCGGCGUGCCUAAUACAUGCAAGUCGAGCGAACAGACGAGGAGCUUGCUCCUCUGACGUUAGCGGCGGACGGGUGAGUAACACGUGGAUAACCUACCUAUAAGACUGGGAUAACUUCGGGAAACCGGAGCUAAUACCGGAUAAUAUAUUGAACCGCAUGGUUCAAUAGUGAAAGACGGUUUUGCUGUCACUUAUAGAUGGAUCCGCGCCGCAUUAGCUAGUUGGUAAGGUAACGGCUUACCAAGGCGACGAUGCGUAGCCGACCUGAGAGGGUGAUCGGCCACACUGGAACGGAGACGCGGUCCAGACUCCUACGGGAGGCAGCAGUAGGGAAUCUUCCGCAAUGGGCGAAAGCCUGACGGAGCAGCGCCGCGUGAGUGAUGAAGGUCUUCGGAUCGUAAAACUCUGUUAUUAGGGAAGAACAAAUGUGUAAGUAACUAUGCACGUCUUGACGGUACCUAAUCAGAAAGCCACGGCUAACUACGUG